UGACAUCACAGAAUGCAACGGACACCGAAACAUUUGAAACUGUAUGGCAGCACGUGCCAUCUGUUUCACAUCUCAAAUUGGUUUAUUAUGUGUGAAUGAUUCCUACACUUGUGAGUAAUAACGGUUUAAAUUAGAUUUUGGACUGACACUGCUGGAUCCCUCUGUAUAAGGUGUCUCUUUUUGACUGAGUUGAACCCAGCAACCCCAGGCACAUGGAGGUCUGAGUUGAGCCACUGUGGGCCCGUCAGCAGGCCAAUAAGAAGCCAGCAUGGCGGUUGCAGACAGCAUCUGUGGGACAGAAUGGCUGGGUUAUUAUGUCACUUCCUAAGACAUGGUGAGACCAGACCCAGACAGAUGUAAAAGGAUGAGUGUCGUGUGAGUGAAAGAUCAGAGGAGAAGACCAGGCUCUGUUGGGGGUCUAUAUCUGCCUGUCUCGCUCUCGCCCACACUGUCUUUCUUCGACACUGUCGACACUUCAUCUCUUGUGUGUUUACUGUAUAUCUCCUGACAUGUGCUUGAUUGUCUUCUCCUUGCAGUCUUGAACUGAUUUUUUCUUUUAUCCUUGUUCUAGUUGUGUAAUUUUCUAUAAUGAUUAGGAUUUUACCCUGCUUUCCUUAAAAAAUAUGACACAUAAUAACUAGGGAAGAUUAACGUGGCUAGUUGUCACACUUUUUACUCCAGUUCAUAUUUAAAAAAGGCAGUAAAUUUUUUUUAAAAUAAUUGCAUUUCUGUAGGCACAUACCUUAAAGUCUUGACUACCAAAAAAGUUAUUGGCCAUUUCCACCAUCAUUGCCCAGGAAGAAAAAUGUUUUUUUGUUGUUAAUUGAAUACACAUUGACCUUUUGUGACAACUUGUCCUAAUAGUUGGGCAUAUUGUCCCAAUGGGAACCUGACAUUAAGUAACACAUUAUAGGCUAUUUAAUGUCUUUAAACAGUACAAAAAAAUUAUAAAGCUCAAAACAACAAAAAUGUGAAAGGUAGAAUACAAACUAUGUCUUUGGCAACAGAUAUUGUAAUUCAUCGAUUGUAUAAAAUUACACCAUUUAAAAUGCAUGUGAUGACCUGCUCCAAACCUGAAGUUUACCUAUAAUUCCCUUGCUUUGCUUCAAAAUAUUCCCUCAUAAUACACUAAAUGCCUUCACUUAAUGUAUGUUUUUAUUGUGUUUACAGAGCUAUUACAAAAUUAUGAUAAGAAUGUUCCAAUAAACAGUCCAAUGUUUUUCCAAUGCAAAUAGCACUCAUUAACCUCCCUUAGACUGCUAUUGAAGCCUGUUGUUUAGAGUCUCUUGUCCAAUAUACAUCUAUAUUUUCUCUAUUGAAAUCUAAUACGGCUUCAAACGGACUCUAUGGUCCAUGCGUCCACUGACUUCUAUGGACAUAUUCAUGUACAAAAAGCAGAGUACGUUACCUGAACAAACAGCGCAAUAGUGAUGUGUGACAUUUGCAUCCUGGUCUCAUGAACAGUACAUGACCGUGGUAACAUUUUUGCAAAAUGAAAUGAUGUGCCUUAUUACGCAUUUGGAUGCAGUUUCCCAGAGAAAUGUCCAGCGGGGGCGCCAAAAGUGAGUGAAAUGGUGUCGUAAUCAGGCGAGGUUUAAGGUGUAUAUUAGAUGGAUGUUUUAAUGUGUAAAGCGUACCUCCCUAACCUAAAACUUGAACCUAACCCUAACCUAUAGUGAUCUGAAGGGAAGUGAAAUGUAGAUGCAAAAUAGACAUUUUUACCCUUAACCACUGCCUAAACCUAACUGAUAGUGUAAAAAAAAAAAAGAGAGAGAGAGAAAUGAAAAGCAUAUUUUCUGAAGCAACCACGUAAUUUCGUGUCACUUCUAUGAUACUUUAGUCUCAAGUGUCAGCUUGCGUGCUUGACUGGGCUCUAGUGUAUAAAUGUAGUUGAGUCUGUAAUACAAGCAUUAAAACUUAUUGUUCUUCAA